GACGUAGGGCGCGAGCGUUGUCCGGAUUUAUUGGGCGUAAAGAGCUCGUAGGCGGCUUGUCGCGUCGACUGUGAAAACCCACGGCUUAACUGUGGGCUUGCAGUCGAUACGGGCAGGCUAGAGUUCGGUAGGGGAGACUGGAAUUCCUGGUGUAGCGGUGAAAUGCGCAGAUAUCAGGAGGAACACCGGUGGCGAAGGCGGGGCUCUGGGCCGAUACUGACGCUGAGGAGCGAAAGCGUGGGGAGCGAACGGG
rnacentral:rRNA from 1 species